rnacentral:rRNA from 1 species
UACGGUAGGGUGCGAGCGUUGUCCGGAAUUAUUGGGCGUAAAGAGCGCGUAGGCGGUCCGAUAAGUCGGCUGUGAAAGUCAGGGGCUCAACCCUUGGAAGCCGGCCGAUACUGUCGGACUAGAGUCCGGAAGAGGCGAGUGGAAUUCCCGGUGUAGCGGUGAAAUGCGCAGAUAUCGGGGAGGAACACCAAUGGCGAAAGGCAGCUCGCUGGGACGGU